rfam:Ascaris suum AG00044, whole genome shotgun sequence.
UGCUGCGGUUAAGAAGCUAGUAAUUGGAUUUGCGCCUCAGGGCCUGGCCGCCCAUUGGGCAAGGACUAGGUUCCUGGGCUAGUUGUGCUGGUUUUCCGUACACAGAGCUAGCAAAUUUAUUUUGGGGAAGUCAGGCUGCCUCACGUGGGCUUAUUUCUGAAUAUUGGUGCAUGGAACAAUAGAAUAGGAUCUCGGUUCUAUUUUGUUGGUUUUCUGAUCUGGGAUAAUGGUUAAAAGGGAUGGACGGAGCAUUCAUGUCGCUACGUGAGAGGUGAAAUUCUUGGACUGCAGCAGGACGUCCGACUCGAAAGCAUUUGUCAAGAAUAUCUACAUUAAUCAAAAACGAAAAUCAGGCUCGAAGGCGAUCAGAUGCCGCCCCAUUUCUGACCAUAAAAGAUACCAACUAGCGUUCCGUCGGCGGUCAAUACGCAUUGCCAGGCAGCUUCCCAGAAACGAAGAUCUUUCGGUUCCG